GUAGGGAAUCUUCCACAAUGGGCGAAAGCCUGAUGGAGCAACGCCGCGUGGGUGAAGAAGGUCUUCGGAUCGUAAAACCCUGUUGUUAGAGAAGAAAGUGCGUGAGAGUAACUGUUCACGUUUCGACGGUAUCUAACCAGAAAGCCACGGCUAACUACGUGCCAGCAGCCGCGGUAAUACGUAGGUGGCAAGCGUUAUCCGGAUUUAUUGGGCGUAAAGGGAACGCAGGCGGUCUUUUAAGUCUGAUGUGAAAGCCUUCGGCUUAACCGGAGUAGUGCAUUGGAAACUGGGAGACUUGAGUGCAGAAGAGGAGAGUGGAACUCCAUGUGUAGCGGUGAAAUGCGUAGAUAUAUGGAAGAACACCAGUGGCGAAAGCGGCUCUCUGGUCUGUAACUGACGCUGAGGUUCGAAAGCGUGGGUAGCAAACAGGAUUAGAAACCCUAGUAGUCC
rnacentral:rRNA from 1 species